rnacentral:rRNA from 1 species
AUACGGAGGAUGCCAGCGUUAUCCGGAUUUAUUGGGUUUAAAGGGAGCGUAGGCGGGAGCUUAAGUCAGCGGUUAAAUGGUGCGGCUCAACCGUGCCCUGCCGUUGAAACUGGGUUUCUUGAGAGUGCAAGAGGCGGAUGGAAUUCAUGGUGUAGCGGUGAAAUGCUUAGAUAUCAUGAAGAACUCCGAUUGCGAAGGCAGUCCGCUGGGGCACGUCUGACGCUGAUGCUCGAAGGUGCGGGAAUCAAACAGGAUUAGAUACCCUGGUAGUCCGCACGGUAAACGAUGAUUACCCGCUGUCGGCGGCAGACAGUCGGCGGCCAAGCGAAAGCGAUAAGUAAUCCACCUGGGGAGUACGCCGGCAACGGUGAA